UUAAGCGACUAAGCGUACACGGUGGAUGCCCUGGCAGUCAGAGGCGAUGAAGGACGUGCUAAUCUGCGAUAAGCGUCGGUAAGGUGAUAUGAACCGUUAUAACCGGCGAUUUCCGAAUGGGGAAACCCAGUGUGUUUCGACACACUAUCAUUAACUGAAUCCAUAGGUUAAUGAGGCGAACCGGGGGAACUGAAACAUCUAAGUACCCCGAGGAAAAGAAAUCAACCGAGAUUCCCCCAGUAGCGGCGAGCGAACGGGGAGCAGCCCAGAGUCUGAAUCAGUGUGUGUGUUAGUGGAAGCGUCUGGAAAGGCGCGCGAUACAGGGUGACAGCCCCGUACACAAAAAUGCACAUACUGUGAGCUCGAUGAGUAGGGCGGGACACGUGGUAUCCUGUCUGAAUAUGGGGGGACCAUCCUCCAAGGCUAAAUACUCCUGACUGACCGAUAGUGAACCAGUACCGUGAGGGAAAGGCGAAAAGAACCCCGGCGAGGGGAGUGAAAAAGAACCUGAAACCGUGUACGUACAAGCAGUGGGAGCACGCUUAGGCGUGUGACUGCGUACCUUUUGUAUAAUGGGUCAGCGACUUAUAUUCUGUAGCAAGGUUAACCGAAUAGGGGAGCCGAAGGGAAACCGAGUCUUAACUGGGCGUUAAGUUGCAGGGUAUAGACCCGAAACCCGGUGAUCUAGCCAUGGGCAGGUUGAAGGUUGGGUAACACUAACUGGAGGACCGAACCGACUAAUGUUGAAAAAUUAGCGGAUGACUUGUGGCUGGGGGUGAAAGGCCAAUCAAACCGGGAGAUAGCUGGUUCUCCCCGAAAGCUAUUUAGGUAGCGCCUCGUGAAUUCAUCUCCGGGGGUAGAGCACUGUUUCGGCAAGGGGGUCAUCCCGACUUACCAACCCGAUGCAAACUGCGAAUACCGGAGAAUGUUAUCACGGGAGACACACGGCGGGUGCUAACGUCCGUCGUGAAGAGGGAAACAACCCAGACCGCCAGCUAAGGUCCCAAAGUCAUGGUUAAGUGGGAAACGAUGUGGGAAGGCCCAGACAGCCAGGAUGUUGGCUUAGAAGCAGCCAUCAUUUAAAGAAAGCGUAAUAGCUCACUGGUCGAGUCGGCCUGCGCGGAAGAUGUAACGGGGCUAAACCAUGCACCGAAGCUGCGGCAGCGACGCUGAUGCGUUGUUGGGUAGGGGAGCGUUCUGUAAGCCUGUGAAGGUGUGCUGUGAGGCAUGCUGGAGGUAUCAGAAGUGCGAAUGCUGACAUAAGUAACGAUAAAGCGGGUGAAAAGCCCGCUCGCCGGAAGACCAAGGGUUCCUGUCCAACGUUAAUCGGGGCAGGGUGAGUCGACCCCUAAGGCGAGGCCGAAAGGCGUAGUCGAUGGGAAACAGGUUAAUAUUCCUGUACUUGGUGUUACUGCGAAGGGGGGACGGAGAAGGCUAUGUUGGCCGGGCGACGGUUGUCCCGGUUUAAGCGUGUAGGCUGGUUUUCCAGGCAAAUCCGGAAAAUCAAGGCUGAGGCGUGAUGACGAGGCACUACGGUGCUGAAGCAACAAAUGCCCUGCUUCCAGGAAAAGCCUCUAAGCAUCAGGUAACAUCAAAUCGUACCCCAAACCGACACAGGUGGUCAGGUAGAGAAUACCAAGGCGCUUGAGAGAACUCGGGUGAAGGAACUAGGCAAAAUGGUGCCGUAACUUCGGGAGAAGGCACGCUGAUAUGUAGGUGAAGCGACUUGCUCGUGGAGCUGAAAUCAGUCGAAGAUACCAGCUGGCUGCAACUGUUUAUUAAAAACACAGCACUGUGCAAACACGAAAGUGGACGUAUACGGUGUGACGCCUGCCCGGUGCCGGAAGGUUAAUUGAUGGGGUUAGCGCAAGCGAAGCUCUUGAUCGAAGCCCCGGUAAACGGCGGCCGUAACUAUAACGGUCCUAAGGUAGCGAAAUUCCUUGUCGGGUAAGUUCCGACCUGCACGAAUGGCGUAAUGAUGGCCAGGCUGUCUCCACCCGAGACUCAGUGAAAUUGAACUCGCUGUGAAGAUGCAGUGUACCCGCGGCAAGACGGAAAGACCCCGUGAACCUUUACUAUAGCUUGACACUGAACAUUGAGCCUUGAUGUGUAGGAUAGGUGGGAGGCUUAGAAGUGUGGACGCCAGUCUGCAUGGAGCCGACCUUGAAAUACCACCCUUUAAUGUUUGAUGUUCUAACGUUGACCCGUAAUCCGGGUUGCGGACAGUGUCUGGUGGGUAGUUUGACUGGGGCGGUCUCCUCCUAAAGAGUAACGGAGGAGCACGAAGGUUGGCUAAUCCUGGUCGGACAUCAGGAGGUUAGUGCAAUGGCAUAAGCCAGCUUGACUGCGAGCGUGACGGCGCGAGCAGGUGCGAAAGCAGGUCAUAGUGAUCCGGUGGUUCUGAAUGGAAGGGCCAUCGCUCAACGGAUAAAAGGUACUCCGGGGAUAACAGGCUGAUACCGCCCAAGAGUUCAUAUCGACGGCGGUGUUUGGCACCUCGAUGUCGGCUCAUCACAUCCUGGGGCUGAAGUAGGUCCCAAGGGUAUGGCUGUUCGCCAUUUAAAGUGGUACGCGAGCUGGGUUUAGAACGUCGUGAGACAGUUCGGUCCCUAUCUGCCGUGGGCGCUGGAGAACUGAGGGGGGCUGCUCCUAGUACGAGAGGACCGGAGUGGACGCAUCACUGGUGUUCGGGUUGUCAUGCCAAUGGCACUGCCCGGUAGCUAAAUGCGGAAGAGAUAAGUGCUGAAAGCAUCUAAGCACGAAACUUGCCCCGAGAUGAGUUCUCCCUGACCCUUUAAGGGUCCUGAAGGAACGUUGAAGACGACGACGUUGAUAGGCCGGGUGUGUAAGCGCAGCGAUGCGUUGAGCUAACCGGUACUAAUGAACCGUGAGGCUUAACCUU
rnacentral:rRNA from 1 species